rnacentral:rRNA from 1 species
AACCCUUCGGGGUUAGUGGCGCACGGGUGCGUAACGCGUGGGAACCUGCCUUUAGGUUCGGGAUAACAGUUAGAAAUGACUGCUAAUACCGGAUAAUGUCUUCGGACCAAAGUAUUUAUCGCCUUUAGAUGGGCCCGCGUUAGAUUAGAUAGUUGGUGGGGUAAUGGCCUACCAAGCGACGAUCUAUAGCUGGUCUGAGAGGAUGAUCAGCCACACUGGGACUGAGACACGGCCCAGACUCCUACGGUAGGCAGCAGUGGGGAAUAUUGGACAAUGGGCGAAAGCCUGAUCCAGCAAUGCCGCGUGAGUGAUGAAGGCCUUAGGGUUGUA